CAGCAGCCACGGUAAUACGUAGGGUGCAAGCGUUAAUCGGAAUUACUGGGCGUAAAGCGUGCGCAGGCGGUGUUGUAAGACUGAUGUGAAAUCCCCGGGCUCAACCUGGGAACUGCAUUGGUGACUGCAGCGCUGGAGUGCGGCAGAGGGGGAUGGAAUUCCGCGUGUAGCAGUGAAAUGCGUAGAUAUGCGGAGGAACACCGAUGGCGAAGGCAAUCCCCUGGGCCUGCACUGACGCUCAUGCACGAAAGCGUGGGGAGCAAACAGGAUUAGAUACCCGCGUAGUCCCUGUCUCUUAUAC
rnacentral:rRNA from 1 species